rnacentral:piRNA from 1 species
UAAAAAGAGAAGGCGGGCCCUAC